AAAAAAAAUAAUUGAUAUGGCUAGAAAAGAAAUUCAAAUUUGCCGCCUUGAGUGUUGUAGUGUUGGAGAUUAAGGCCUUGGUUUCGCACGAUAGUACCGGUCAAAUAUUUGAAAAAAAGGGGUGUGAGUGUUUCAUAACCGGCACAUAUCAGGUAAAAGUGUAAUGGGACUUGUGCAGGUGUUUGGGGUGACUUUGGGCCUGUUAGAUAUGAUAUUUGGAGGUGCAAAGAAACCGGAUGUAACAUUUUCCUAGAUUGUAACUGCUCGUGCAUGCUGGGAGUCUACAAGCCUCAUGUUGAUGUUGUGAAGAUGCACUGGAUUUGACCGUGUGUGUUGUGGAUUGUGGAAUUGAAUAUACAGUUUGUAAUUGCUCAUCCUAUGUGUUCUAAUUCACGGAGACAAUGUCUUUCAGUCAUUUCACCCAAGGAGGCAUGCAUAUACGGAUUUAUAGGCUUUGAUAACAAACAACCAAAAUGGCGGCCGGACUGAAUUAGAAAGUGUCUGAGUGCAUGUAGGAUAUCUGAACGGAGAAUAGGAGUACUGCAUCCCAUCUGAUCCUGCAGUCAUUUCACCCAAGGAGGCAUGCAUAUACGGAUUUAUAGGCUUUGAUAACAAACAACCAAAAUGGCGGCCGGACUGAAUUAGAAAGUGUCUGAGUGCAUGUAGGAUAUCUGAACGGAGAAUAGGAGUACUGCAUCCCAUCUGAUCCUGCAGUCAUUUCACCCAAGGAGGCAUGCAUAUACGGAUUUAUAGGCUUUGAUAACAAACAACCAAAAUGGCGGCCGGACUGAAUUAGAAAGUGUCUGAGUGCAUGUAGGAUAUCUGAACGGAGAAUAGGAGUACUGCAUCCCAUCUGAUCCUGCAGUCAUUUCACCCAAGGAGGCAUGCAUAUACGGAUUUAUAGGCUUUGAUAACAAACAACCAAAAUGGCGGCCGGACUGAAUUAGAAAGUGUCUGAGUGCAUGUAGGAUAUCUGAACGGAGAAUAGGAGUACUGCAUCCCAUCUGAUCCUGCAGUCAUUUCACCCAAGGAGGCAUGCAUAUACGGAUUUAUAGGCUUUGAUAACAAACAACCAAAAUGGCGGCCGGACUGAAUUAGAAAGUGUCUGAGUGCAUGUAGGAUAUCUGAACGGAGAAUAGGAGUACUGCAUCCCAUCUGAUCCUGCAGUCAUUUCACCCAAGGAGGCAUGCAUAUACGGAUUUAUAGGCUUUGAUAACAAACAACCAAAAUGGCGGCCGGACUGAAUUAGAAAGUGUCUGAGUGCAUGUAGGAUAUCUGAACGGAGAAUAGGAGUACUGCAUCCCAUCUGAUCCUGCAGUCAUUUCACCCAAGGAGGCAUGCAUAUACGGAUUUAUAGGCUUUGAUAACAAACAACCAAAAUGGCGGCCGGACUGAAUUAGAAAGUGUCUGAGUGCAUGUAGGAUAUCUGAACGGAGAAUAGGAGUACUGCAUCCCAUCUGAUCCUGCAGUCAUUUCACCCAAGGAGGCAUGCAUGUACGGAUUUAUAGGCUUUGACAACAAACAACCAAAAUGGCGGCCGGUGAAUUAGAAAGUGUCUGAGUGCAUGUAGGAUAUCUGAACGGAGAAUAGGAGUACUGCAUCCCAUCUGAUCCUGCAGGUAAGUGUUUAUUUGUUUACAAUGACAGUCGGGAUGGAAUGUCAAUGAGUUCAACUGUCAAGUAAAGUUGCAUCA